UAAUUGUAGGAUUAGUCGUAAGAAGAGGUUUGAUGUUGCAGGUUGGUCAAGUAUCGGCUCAAUUAGACAAUCGAAAAUAGGAGAAAUAGUUGAUGUGUUGAAUGCAAAUCCGAGUUGGUAAGAGGCUGUUUGUAAUGUGGAAAGUCUUUGAGCAUUUACGUGAACGUUGGGCGGUGCUUGUAGAAUGUAGUGAAUGAACUUGAAACGCCCUACUUUGUACGAAAGGCAUGUGGGCUACAUGAAUUUGAGCUCUUUCAUGAAUUUAGAGCCUUGCAUUCAAACUGCAGAGUUUCUACGAGGGACAAGCUGCAGCCGUCAUCUGUGAAGCGGAGUGGUAACUACGCACGGUCCAGCAGUAAUUGCUGGAACAAUCUCAGCUGUAAAACGGAGAAAAGCAUAAAGUUUCUAACAGGUUGCGAAGGGUGUGAAGAACUUAGCAAAAGUGAUUCAGAUCGAGAAGAAGGCGUUUAGCUGAUCCAACGCUAGUGUCCGGCAUGAAGUGGAUAGAUCUAGGCGACCAAGGCAUAAGGGAUGACAUCUGUUUAUUGCAAUAUGGCGUCAGGAUCAACUUCUUUACUGGAAGAUUACUUACGUCUAUCAACUAUAAUUCAACAAUUAAGCACAUUAGAGCAUUCAUUUCAGGCAAGUGUCGUUACUAUUAAAGUUAGUAUGGUACGUCCAUCGCGAUAAACCAGUUAAGUCACUCGUUCUGCACAAUGCUUACGGGUUUGAUAAUAUUACAUUUUCCUAGCGGUACGAUAAAGGUGGGAAUGCAACACAUGUUGUUCUGUACGAACACUGACAACCACACCUAUGAGAAGAAUUGCUGGGAGCCUUAACGUGAAACUGCGAUUUGCUUGCUCCCAAUUCAACUGGCUGUUGCUGGUUGCCACAGACAAGGACCAUACGUCCGUCUUAACCCAUUAUACUGGUCUUAGUUUUGGUUUAAUGCAGUUGGCCAGCUCCUACUGUGCACUACAUCCUGCGAAGGCCUCUGAUGUGUAGGACACAGGCCGAAUGGAGUGCAUUCCGUAAUGGAGGCCAUGAUGGUUCCACAUCAUCUUUUGUGGAAACACGAAAACUUCAACCGAUGAAGUAUUUUCAAAAAUGGGUUGGAUUAAUUGACGUUAAAUCGGCACGCCCCCUUCUCGCUGUAAAAGAGCUUACCUGUUACUACAGGCGUGUUGGCUGCUGACGUGGAACAUGUCAGGUUUGAUCUUUCACCGUUUCUCACAUCGCAACCAUAAUGGCAGUACAACCUCAUUAACUGUUACAUACCGUCCCGCUACAGCCAUUACAUCGCACAAAUGUGUGCUAAAUUUCCAGGGGAAGAAGAAUCAGUGCCAUCAAACUAGAGAAAAACAUGUCACCCAAGCUGGGUGGACAAAUCUAAUUGGUGUAUGACAGUAGAUGGAAGAAAUUCCAACACAAAGCAUCUCAAAUUUCGCGACUGCUCAUCGCCGAAAUGUCCGGGCUCGGGUGUGUUCGCCAUUUCGCUGGAAGACUGGAACAAGUAGGUAGUGGCGCCACGGUUCGAUGCACGAUGACAGUUUUCUUUAACUGUCUCGGCGUCUUCCACUGUUUGCUCCUCCUUGUCCGUCUCCUUGUGUGCUCCUGCUCUGUUUAAAUAGCUACAAGAUACACCACUCCUGUCCUAUUUAAUGGCCACUCGUCUUGGAACGAUAGGCCAUAUUUCGACAGGAUGGAAAGAAAAAACCCUCAACAAUUUAAAGAUUUGUGUUCAUUACCACGCCCGAACACUGGACGAAAAACUGUGCUGGUGAAAAUUCUGCCCAGCACCACCUCCGCUGACGUUGUUACUGACGUUGCCUCCCAUCAGAGCGUAAUAUCCGGCCGUUUCGGCAGGUGUUCCAGAAUACGCCAUGUCUUGAUGGUGGAGGUACGAUGAUGGUGCGCUACCGUACGUUAACGCUGAAGUAGCUGGAUGUUGUUGGUGGCUGUACAAUGUGGAAUAAGGCGGAAGAACGGGAUGUUGUUGCAGGUGAGGAUCGUGCGCUGAGUGUUGGUAUAGAAUUGAUUCCUCAGCUUCAGACGGAGUGCCCAAUCCGGUUGAAGAAACGAUGGAGUCUUCGGCCAUCUUACGAAUGGGCGUUGUCGCUGUUCCAGGUUCAGGAGAUGUCGUGAUGCUGUUGGAGUCUAAUGGUUUUUCACUCAACUGGCGUUUGCAUUUAUAGCGGCGAUUUUGGAACCAUAUCUUUACCUGAUCAAGAUGUUAAUUUAGGUUCGCAGCUUUAUCCUGAAGAAGAUUAAUGCGACUUACGGUUUGAUUUGAUUUUGUUGGUGGCAAUUUCCAUUGAAUUUCCGCAAUUGACUUCCUGUUCGGAGAAGGGCGGACACAGCGGCUGAAUUCUUCAGCCACCGGAGGGCAAUCGUAGGACAUGUAGUUGUACGAGUAAUCGUAAUGAGCCGGAUCAAUCGCUUGUUGAUGCUGCGGAGGUGGUUGGGUGUGGUGUUGCUGCAGUGCGAUCCAAUAAUUGGCGUAGUAACCCGUAGAAUUGGCUGCUGCUUCGGCUGGAUUGACCACCAUUAUCGGAUCGAGUAAUAGCGGAUCGGUUGAUGCUGUGGCUGCCGCUUCGGGUCCAGGGCUUACUCCGCUACCGAUCAUCCCA
rnacentral:lncRNA from 1 species